GCGUUUGUAGAUGGAAGGAAGAACUUGUGUGCUUAGACCUGACGCUGGGAGGAGAUGCUGCCACCUAGGUUACUUGUAGGACCCUAUACGGCAACCUCCUUUGCCAGGAACUAUUUAUAAACAUCCUGCAGGAAAAUGAGUCUAUAUGUCAGAAUACACAUUUCCCACCUUGCCCAACAGUAGAAAAACAUAAGAAGAGAAAAACAUUAAAAAAUGACAAGGAAGUUAAUGG
rnacentral:lncRNA from 1 species